rnacentral:hammerhead_ribozyme from 1 species
AUCCAGCUGACGAGUUUCAAAUAGGACGAAACGAGCAUCCUGGAU